rnacentral:rRNA from 1 species
GACGAACGCUGGCGGCGUACCUAAUACAUGCAAGUAGAACGCAGUUGCGAACGGGUGAGUAACGCGUAGGUAACUGCCUCAUAGCGGGGGAUAACUAUUGGAAACGCUAGCUAAUACCGCAUACUGUGCGAUGGACCUGCGUUUUAUUAGCUAGUUGGUGAGGUAAAGGCUCACCAAGGCGACGAUACAUAGCCGACCUGAGAGGGUGAACGGCCACAACGGGACUGAGAGACGGGCCAGACAGACACGGGAGGCCACUGUAGGGAAUCUUCGGGAAAGGACGGAAAUCUGACCGAGCAAAGCCGCGUGAGUGGAGAAGGUUUUCGGAUCGUAAAGCUCGUUUGUUAGGGAAGCGGUGACGAACCAGAAAGGGACGGCUAACUACGUGCCAGCAGCCGCGGUAAUUC